rnacentral:rRNA from 1 species
UACAGAGGUGGCAAGCGUUGUUCGGAAUUACUGGGCGUAAAGGGCGCGUAGGCGGCCUUCUAAGUCAGACGUGAAAUCCCCCGGCUUAACCUGGGAACUGCGUCUGAUACUGGAGGGCUUGAGUAUGGGAGAGGGAUGUAGAAUUCCAGGUGUAGCGGUGAAAUGCGUAGAUAUCAGGAGGAAUACCGGUGGCGAAGGCGGCAUCCUGGACCGACAUUGACGCUGAACGGCGAAAGCUAGGGGAGCAAACGGG